GGAAUCAACGCUGGCGGCGUGCCUAACACAUGCAAGUCGAACGAGAAAGUGGAGCAAUCCAUGAGUAAAGUGGCGCACGGGUGAGUAACACGUGACUAACCUACCCUUGAGUGGGGGAUAACCUAGAGAAUCUGGGCUAAUACCGCAUAAUACCUUCGGGUCAAAGGAGCAAUUCGCUUAAGGAGGGGGUCGCGGCCGAUUAGUUAGUUGGCGGGGUAAUGGCCCACCAAGACUAUGAUCGGUA
rnacentral:rRNA from 1 species